UCCUGCUCAGAGGUUAAAGUGUCUGCCUCCAAUGCAGGAGACCCGGGUUCGAUCCCUGGGUCAGGAA
rnacentral:tRNA from 1 species